ACUGAAUAGAUACCCGGGUAGUCCACGCCGUAAACGUUGGGCGCUAGGUGUGGGGCUCUUUCCACGAGUUCCGUGCCGCAGCAAAAACGCAUUAAGCGCCCCGCCUGGGGAGUACGGCCGCAAGGCUAAAACUCAAAGGAAUUGACGGGGGCCCGCACAAGCGGCGGAGCAUGCGGAUUAAAUUCGAUGCAACGCGAAGAACCUUACCAAGGCUUGACAUACGCAGAAAACCGGCAGAGAUGUCGGGUCCGUAAGGGCUGUGUACAGGUGGUGCAUGGUUGUCGUCAGCUCGUGUCGUGAGAUGUUGGGUUAAGUCCCGCAACGGGCGCAACCCUCGUUCCAUGUUGCCAGCACGUAAUGGUGGGGACUCAUGGGAGACUGCCGGGGUCAACUCGGAGGAAGGUGGGGAUGACGUCAAAUCAUCAUGCCCCUUAUGUCUUGGGCUUCACGCAUGCUACAAUGGCCAGUACAAAGGGCUGCGAGACCGUAAGGUGGAGCGAAUCCCAAAAAGCUGGUCUCAGUUCGGAUCGGGGUCUGCAACUC
rnacentral:rRNA from 1 species